rnacentral:rRNA from 1 species
UACGUAGGGUGCGAGCGUUGUCCGGAAUUAUUGGGCGUAAAGGGCUCGUAGGCGGUUUGUCGCGUCGGGUGUGAAAACCUCGGGCUUAACUCGGAAAGGUCAACUGAUACUGUGCGACUAGAGUGCAGAAGGGGCAACUGGAAUUCUCGGUGUAGCGGUGAAAUGCGUAGAUAUCGAGAGGAACACCUGCGGCGAAGGCGGGUUGCUGGGCUGACACUGACGCUGAUGCGCGAAAGCCAGGGGAGCGAACGGG